rnacentral:rRNA from 1 species
GACGAACGCUGGCGGCGUGCUUAACACAUGCAAGUCGAACGGAAAGGCCCUGCUUUUGUGGGGUGCUCGAGUGGCGAACGGGUGAGUAACACGUGAGUAACCUGCCCUUGACUUUGGGAUAACUUCAGGAAACUGGGGCUAAUACCGGAUAGGAGCUCCUGCUGCAUGGUGGGGGUUGGAAAGUUUCGGCGGUUGGGGAUGGACUCGCGGCUUAUCAGCUUGUUGGUGGGGUAGUGGCUUACCAAGGCUUUGACGGGUAGCCGGCCUGAGAGGGUGACCGGCCACAUUGGGACUGAGAUACGGCCCAGGCUCCUACGGGAGGCAGCAGUGGGGAAUAUUGCACAAUGGGCGGAAGCCUGAUGCAGCAACGCCGCGUGCGGGAUGACGGCCUUCGGGUUGUAAACCGCCUUCGCCUGUGACGAAGCGUGAGUGACGGUAAUGGGUAAAGAAGCACCGGCUAACUACGUG